UACAGGGGGGGCAAGCGUUGUUCGGAAUUACUGGGCGUAAAGGGCUCGUAGGUGGCCAACUAAGUCAGACGUGAAAUCCCUCAGCUUAACUGGGGAACUGCGUCUGAUACUGGAUGGCUUGAGUUUGGGAGAGGGAUGCGGAAUUCCCGGUGUAGCGGUGGAAUGCGCAGAUAUCGGGAGGAACACCCGUAGCGAAGGCGGUUCUCUGGGCCAAUACUGACGCUGAGGAGCGAAAGCGUGGGGAGCAAACAGG
rnacentral:rRNA from 1 species